CAGAAGUGUUGCAGGAGAUUCCGAAGUCGUCUGGAGGUCGUGGUUAAAGCCUACGGUGAUUUUAUUGUAUAAAUUUACUCUCUGGUAUUUCAAAUUAAUUUUACGUAAUUAUAGUAAACAUAUCUGUUAAAAUGAGAUGUCAGUGUUAUUUUCAUUUUUGCAUAAUUUAGAUGACAAAUUUAUUCACUGCACCAUGCAUAUAUUGUCUGUGUGUGUAUAUAUGUGUCUGUGUGUGAUUGCAUGCAUGCAUUAACGUAUAUAUAUUAUAAAUCUUGACAUGGUAAUUAUAAUAAUGAUAUCUAAGUUAAAGGUCUACAAAUUCCGGAGUUUUUUGUAUGAAUUUUCUCACAUCUUUUUAUAAAAUAUCACUGCAUAUGUUUCCGUUCAAACGGAAUAAAUUUAUAAAUAUCACUAUUAAGAUUAGAGCGAAAUGCAGAAGUUAUAAAAGCAGGGAUAGUUGUUUAUAUAUUUAUACACAUAUUUUAUUGUUGUCGUUUGUGUCUUCGUUGUUAUUAGUUUGGUUUUUUUCCCCCAGCACUUUAACAUUUCAUCUUUUAAUGAGAAAGUUUUAAAUAUAUAAAUAAAUAUCGACUGGUGAUAUAGUUUGCUAUUAUAUAUCACGAUGAAUACUUUUAUGUAUCUUUGAAGAUGAAGAAAGUAAUUUAAAUAUUUAUAAAAAUAUAUUGAAUCGACUAAAACUGGUUGAAGUUCUAAGAGAACUGAACAAGCAUUAAUUUCUAUAUGUGCGUAUAUAAAUGGUUAUGUGCAUGUGUGUGUGAACCAGUGUCUGUGUGUGUAUGAUUAUAAUUUUAUGUCCGCUUCCAAUGUUUGCAUCAGGAUACACAUACACACACAUACAUCUAUGCUUUAUAUAUAUAUAUAUAUAUAUAUAUAUAUAUAUAUAUAUAUAUAUAUAUAUGUCCAUAGGAACAUAAUACAUAUAUAUAUAUACAUACACGCAUAUAUAUGUACAUGUAUAUAUAUAUACAUAUAUACAUAUAUAUAUAUAUAUAUAUAUAUAUAUAUAUAUAUAUAUGCAUAUAUACAUGCAUAUAUAUAUGUAUGUAUAUAUUUAGGUAUGUAUUCGUUAGUCCGUGUGUUUGUGUGUGUGUUAUAUAACAAACUUUCAUCUCAAGAAAUUCGAUUUCCUGCUGUAAAUUAAGAAACAAUUUUCGUUGUAUCUCUCCUUUAUGCUUGUAUUAAGAUAUUGCCAAUUCCUUUUCUGAGAAUCUUACUAGCAAUUUGCCAUACUGGCUAAUAAUCGGUGGAGGCUUAAAGAAAAUCCUUUGAUGUCGAUAUGAUUAUGACUUAUAGCAGUUUGCUUCACUCCCUCGAAUUUAGCAUUUGUUAAGCAUUCUAAAUGCUGAAUCAAGCAUAUAUUAUAUAUUUUAUCCUCAUGCUCUUCCACCGAAAUGUACUGGAAGAAUUUCUAAUAGAAGCUAAUACAAGUAUGAUCAAUGUGACAAAAAUAUAUAUCUAUCUGUCUAUUUAUCUAUGUACCAACCUUUCUAUCACAGCAAAAUAAUAAUGGAUUUGACUGCAGGAAAUUUUAUAACAUUACAUUAGCUAGACACAUUCAUAGAUUCAAUUUUUCUUUUUUAAAUAAGACCACUUCAAGACAAUGUUCCUAAUCAAAGACGAAUGGAGAAAAUUCUCCGAAUGGAGAAAGUCACACCCUUUGUGUCAAACGAUCUGUACUGUUAAUCAGGUGUGUCUUCAUAUCCAUGUAUGUAUGUAUGUAUGUAUGUAUGUAUGUAUGUAUGUAUGUAUGUAUGUAUGUAUGUAUAAAUGGAGUUAAACGCAGGUGUUAUUCAAGUUCUUUUACUUCCGACAUAUGUUUCGAAGACAACAUUGGUAUUAUUCCAAAAGGAAUAAAAUGGUGUGAAUCAAUGUAAUCUUAAUAGCGUCCCGUUCAUCAUUAUGCACAUCCAUCACAUUCUGUUAAAAUGCCUUAUUGAUGAGUUUGGUUUCUUUCUUUCUUUUCCAGAUGAGAAGAUUACAUUGUUUUACAACAUUUUAUUCCUAAAUUCAGUGUAGUAGUUUUCCACGGAUUCCAACAUUUAACAGUUUUGUCAGUAGUAUAUUAUGGUCAACUCUGCCGAACGAUUUACUGAAGUAAAGAUAUAUGACAUCACAGUUCGAACCUAAUCCCAAGGCUUUAAGGAUAUCAUCGAUGUGAUGUAAGAACAGUGUUAGACAGUCGCUGCCGCAGCGAAAGCCAUGAUGGUUUGAAUUUAGGAGUUUGUGGCUCUCCCGAAAGCCAGCUAUCUCACUACCCUUUCAAACAUUUUUAUGAUUAUGGGAUGUGAGUGAUAGUUGACUGCGGCGGUUUUGUCACCCGAUUUGAAAACUGUAGGUGAUCAGCUAUACCCGAUUUAUCAAUAUCUCCUCGUGUCACAGCUUUGCGAUGUUCGUCUACCUUUAUUUUGAAGGGGCAGUAUGUUUCGCCUUUCUAUAACCUAACACAGUUGCAUGGGGUGGAGUACACGCAGUCUUUGGUCAUAUUCUCUUCUAUUGGUGGUUUUACAGGACAGUUUAUUGGUUUCAUCCCCUCUUUAUUUCAUAAUUGGAGUGGAUAGUAUGUUUUGCGGGUAGUUGUUGCUUAAUAGAAUGUUAUUGAGCUUGAUCAUUUCUUCGUGGUGUGUAUCAUGAUCGCUACUUAUAUUCUUCGCACGAUAUUUUAGGCACUGAGCAAUCCCUCUCUUUACACUGUAUGGAUGGUGGGAAUUGAAGUUGGGCUAUCUUCCAGCAGUGAAGGGUUACUUGCGAUAUAUGGAUGUCCUGAAUCCAUACUUGGUGCGUGUUAUUAAUACGACCAGGAAUGUUAGCUAAUUUAGAGCAUUUGUGGGCCAGUUUAUAUAAUGGAUGUUAAAAUCACCCAUCACUAGUAUGUUUCCGGAGUUGUAUUUUUGAAGGAAGGACUUGAAUUUGUUGAGGCAUUCUUUAAAACACUUUAGAAAUGCUUGGGGCGGCCUGUAGAGACCAACAAUGGUUAUAUAUUGUUGAAUAGUGGUAUGGAUUCACAGUAGCCAUUGGAAAAUAUAUCCUUAGUAUCAACUGAAAAGGAGUCGUGGAGAAAGAUGGCUGUUCCUACUUUAUUUCGGUUUGUACGAUCUGCACAGAUGAUGGUGCAAUCUUUUAUUUUCACCUCGGCAUCCAUGUGAGUGCUGUUUAGGUGAGUUUCAGUAAGGAUAAAGAAAGGGAUGCAGUGUGCCGUUUCGGCAAGCCAACUCUCUAUGUAUUGGAUCUUCCAUUUUCGGGGAGUGUGUGAUGGGUUGAUUCCAUGUACAUUUAGCAGGAAUGUCGAGGCAAGAGUAGUUCAAUGUUUGUAUUGAUGUAAGUGCUUAGUCUUAUGUGUUAAGUUGUUCAGAGGUAGCACUGAGGGUAGUGUUUUUAUAUGGAGCUGUGUGUGAUGUUCUAGUUGAUGGUGGGUGGGUGGGUAGGUGGGUGUUCAUUGUGCAUUAAACAAACACGGCUUUUGAUAGCUCAGUAGAUCUCCUGGUUUAAGUCGAUCUUCAUAUUUUCUAGAUAAGUUAGUAAAAACGAGUUGACUCUUUGGUUUGCCACUUUGUCAGAUGAGACAUAGUUCAUGUUUAUGUUAUAUGGUGUUGUGGUUUUCCUAUAGUUCUGUCUUCGUUGUUUGAUUUUAGGAGGUGAAGUGUGGUUUUAAUUAGUUUAGUUGUUGUAGUAUUCUUCUGUUGCUGUUUAUAUAUUUUUUCGUUCGUGUUGUGCCUUUCAGAUGGUGGUAGUUGCCUUCUGGGUUCAGACACAUCCUUAGUGACACAGAAUUUUGGCACAUGUUAGGAUGGAAGAAGGUACAUCCGUUGCAUUUUGUGCAUUCAUAUUUAGGAUCAGGACCAUGGACUCUGUAAUUAGGACAGUAUUUGAAGUGAAGUUGAGGGCAGAUUUUUCCCGUUGUACCAUAUGAACAGGUAGGAUGGAAAAAAGACAGCAUCCCUUGUUUUUGGUGUUGCUGGGGCCAAAUCUACAGUUAUCUUGGGAAUAGUAACGGCAGGAUUCAUCGUAGAGGUUUUUUGUAUAUUGGCAGACUCAUUGGUCACUGGUCCUAUUGUAGUAGCUGUAGUUCUUCUUCUUCUUCUCCUUCUUCUUCUUCUUCUUCUUCUUCUUCUUCUUCUUCUUCUUAUUAUUAUUAUUAUUAUUAUUAUUAUUAUUAUUAUUAUUAUUAUUACUAUUAUUAUUAUUGUUGUUAUUAUUAUUAUUAUUAUUAUUAUUAUUAUUAUUAUUAUUACUACUAUUAUUAUUAUUAUUGUUGUUGUUGUUGUUAUUAUUAUUAUUAUCAUUGUUGUUGUUGUUGUUAUUAUUAUUAUUAUUAUUAUUAUUAUUAUUAUUAUUAUUAUUAUUAUUAUUAUUAUUAUUAUUAUUAUUAUUAUUAUUAUCAUUGGAGCGGCAGUGAAACUUGGGUUGUAACAGUAAGGCUGGGUGAAAUCAUGCUGGACAGUGAUACCAAACAAGAUGAUUCCAAUGUAGUAGCUUUUGUUAUGGUUGCUUGCCAUGAUCGUGUCGGGUGGAGUUAGGGCAGAUAGCGAUCUCAAGGUGGUUGUUGUUUGCUUCUGACUAACGGGUCGUUAAGGUUAUCACUGACCUGUCGGCAUUGGGUCAGUUGGCGCACAACAUCCAUUGACAAGUAUAGCUUCUAGUGUUACCGUGUGCGUGUGUAAGGUAUGAAACGAUCUUGUGAUGGUUUUUAUUUUAUUUUCGAUCUCUUUUACAAACCUGUAAAAGGACUGUGACGCUAAAAUUUCGGCGAUUUUACCGUAGAUAUUAGUUUUUACAUUAUCGUGAUGGUGAGCGUCACUUUUAUUUUAACUAUUCUCAGUGCAUUUUCAACUCCUAUUUUUCCUAUAUUUCAACCUGUGAUUUCAACCUGUGCAGAAUAAAAUAACUUUGUUAUAUAUAGAUAGAUAGAUAGAGAGAGAGAGAGAGAGAGAGAGAGAGAGAGAGAGAGAGAGAGAGAGAGAGAUAGAUAGAUAGAUAGAUAGAUAGAUAGAUAGAUAGAUAGAUAGAUAUACACACACAUACUAUCUGUCUAUAGAUCGCUAGCCACUACACUUUCUUUAUUUUCUUUCUUUGUUUCUUUCUGUGUUCCUUUUUGUGGAAGACCGUAGGCUUGAAACGUUAAAGACUCUUUCACUUCCCGAGCUUUAUACUAAUACAUCUGUUUGUUGUCUACACCACCUGUCUUCGUCUUUUCUUUUGUUGGGGGGAGGAUAGAGAGAUACAUACAUACGGACAUAAAAAUUGAUAUUUUUAUGAAUGUACAAGUAUGUGUGUGUGUGUAUGUGUACGAGUGUAUGUGUGUGAUGCGUGUUACGAUUAGCGUAAGAAUAUUUCUUAGCCUUCUAAUUUGUAUGAAUAUUACACACACUGACAUAGACGCCUUCAAACACACGCACGCACAAACACGCACACACACACACGCGCGCACACACGCACACUCAUAUGCAUACAAGUAUAUCUAUCCCCAGACAUAUUAAAAAAACAUGACUAUAUAUAUAUAUAUAUAUAUCUGCUCCGUUCCUGUGUGUGUGUGCGUUCCUCUGUGAGUGUGUGCGUUCCUCUGUGUGUGUGUGUGUGUGUGUGUGUGUGUGUGUGUGUGCGUGUGUGCGUUCCUCUGUGUUUGUGUGUAUGUGUGUGUGUGUGCAUUCCUCUGUGUGUGUGCGUUCCUCCGUGUGUGUGCGUGAUGCGUUUUAGUGUUUGUAAACUGUUUUGUAAUAAAUGUUCUUUCAUGUGCCGUCCCUAUUCGCAUUUGCCACAUCAUCAAAGACAAUAUUAACACAACUCAAAUCCCCAAUUGUUCAUCAACAACAUCUUUACAUCACAACAAUUUACUUCCUCAGCAUCUGCAAACUCUUCAUUCUUACUUUUAUUUAUAAAUAUUGUACACUUGUGAUCAUAUUUCAACAUCACCAUCAUCAUCAUCAUCAUCAUCAUCAUCCUCAUCAUCAUCCUCAUCAUCAUCAUCAUCAUCAUCAUCAUCAUCAUCAUCUGCAGCAGGAGUAGUAGUAGUAGUAGUAAUAGUAGUAGUAGUAGUAGUAGUAGUAGUAGUAGUAGUAGUAGUAGUAGAUUUUGUGUGGAAAAAUAAUCAGAUGUUGCGCUUAUUGUUUUGAAGAAUCUUGUCCGUUGUGAUUACUUCACCGCCCAUAAUCCUCACCUACCUCCCUAGAAUGAAUAUUCUUCCCGUUGUUGUUGUUGUUGCCGCAUUGAUUUCUCUUAUCUUUUAACAUAGUUCUUCAUGAUAAACUGUUUUGCUAUGGACCCAAUCUGUUUGUUUUCUUCAAAGAAUCCUGGUAGCUUUUAAUAAUGUAGGAUUCUUUGUGUUUUAGUGAAAUUUUCUUGUCUCAGGCAGACUUUGAUUUCGUGAACUACAUAAUAUUCAUGUUAUAUUUCUUUGGUAUUUGUCUCAUUGUCCUCUUUUCCCAGUAUUUUUUCUAUUCUUUAUCGAUUUCAUUAAGAACUUAGAAAUUUUUCUUUUUAUUUCCUUUAUUUUUUACAUCUUGUAGCUUUGUUUAUAUAGGUUAUGAUAUCAGUGAGUUUUUCUGAAGAAUUACCCACUUUACUUUCUAAUUAUCGUAGUUGAUGUAUAUACAAUUUCCCUUAUCUUUGUAAUAUUGAUGUUUGUGUCCAUUUUUAUUAAGUCUAAAAUGGCUGCAUUUGCAUUCUUUAGUGUUGUUAUUAUCAUUGGCAUAUAGGCAGAACUAUCGAUAUUAAUUAUAUUUUCGCUAUUUCUAUAUUUACAAUAUUGUCCUAUUCCUAAUUUACAUUUUCAGAAUUUUCUAUCCUCAAAUAUUUUUCAAAUCUCCUUUCUACUCACAUUAUGUUUGUUGGUUUACGUUUAAUAAUUCUUUGCUUUUGAUAUUUUCCUCGUUUCGCACAUGUUCACUUACCUUUUAAAUUGUUUGUUCCGUUAUUUUUUCUUGUACUUUAGGUUGGUUAUUUUUUCCCGUUAUGUAACGUUUCUUUUUAACUAUUCUGUUCCUAUCCCUGAUAAGUUAAUCAUAUAUGUGGAUGUCUCUUUUAAAAUUAUCGAGUCUACUAAGAUCCCAAUGUACUUUGAGAUCAGAGUUAUUUUAUUUUCAAACUGUAUACGUUUCGAGGGAUUUUGAGGUCAAGGAUUUCCGUGAAUAAUUUCCAGAAAUAUUUGACCUGGCAGUGCUACCAAGGUGCUCAACUGUUUCCACUACAGAUUCGAAACACCCUCCUGGCACGACUACCCAAGUUGCCCGCAUAAUGACGAAAUUCUAUUGCAUGCACUCGUGCAGUGUCAAAACAUUGCUCAUUUCUAGAGAUAGUCAAAUAACUGUUGCCGAUAGUAGGAAAUCUGGCAAUGAGAUGAGACGGUCGAAAUCAUAGCCCCACCAUCCGAGAAGAAAAAUGGUGUUGAGGCUGAAAGUAUUGAGGAUAGACAUCUUUAUCUUCGAUCAAGCCUCAUCGACUGCUUCAGGUUUCACAUGAAAAGAAAAUUUCGAAUGGAGGAAAAUGCGUCAUUCCCCGGUAAAUUAAUCAAAAUGUCAGUGACUCUAACAGAAGAGAUUAGAAUGAAUUGAACUACUCUAAAUACACGUGCUUGUAGAUUAGAGAAUCAAAGCUGAAGGAGAACUUGUGAGAUCCAUAGUCAGCGGGAAUCUUGGGUCUGUGGCGAUCCUUGAUUGACCCUAGUCGGAGGUUCCCCUCUAUCAAUAGUAUUGCACCAUCCAUAUGUUCACAUAUUUUGCAUACUGCUUAUAUUUAUUUUCCCCACUGCUUGUCCACUUUUUUCCCUUUAUCUAUUUUAUGCAAUCCUCCCACAAACGGUUACCUGUCAUUCUAAGGAGUCGAACUUAGGAUAUCAUUAUCAUGAAAGCAACACUCCUACCACUAGAUCACGUGCAUUUGUGUGUGUGUGUGUGUGUGUGUGUGUGUGUGUGUGUGUGUGUGUGUGUGUGUGUGUGUGUGUUUGUACAUACAUGUAUGUAUAAGUAGAUAUAUGUGCUUAUAUAUAUCGACUUAUAUUUCCUUUUAUUUUCAGUUCAGUCUUUGAACUGCGGCCAUGUUGGGGCACCGCCUCGAAGUGUAUUAGUCGAAAGUAUUGACCCCGGUAUUUAUUCUGGGUUAAACCUGGUAUUUAUUAUAAUGUGAUACCACACAGUCAUGCCUAGAUGAACACACACACACACACACACAUACACACUCACACAAAUAUAUAUAUAUAUAUGUAUAUAUAAAUUAUUAUCAUUAUUAUUGUAUACAUAGACAGAGACACACACACACACGCAUGCACACACACACACGCAUGCACACACACACGCAUGCACACACGCGUGUAUGACAGUGUGUCUGUGUGGUUUUAAUCGAUAUGAUUGAAUAUGAUGGAGACGUAAACAAAUGACGCAGGUGUCCUUAGUGUAGUACAAAAGCCGGUUAAGAAUUUCGAAGAGCACAACGGGGUUAGCAAUCUAUAAAUUUUGCAUAUUUUCUAAUAAAGUAAAUGGGGAAAAAGCGACAAAUUUAUUAUUUUCCCUUCAGCAUUUACAAUCUGUUGUUGUGUAACGUCAAUAGUUUAGCAUAAUAUGUAUAGUUUUAUUUUAUACAGAAAUCUGAUGUGGUGAAAAAAACAUUAUUCCUUGGAGUAUGAAACAAAAGACAUAAACCAUUGAUCAGCAUAUAUAAUGAGGAUUUGUUUCAAAAACAUUUCAUUUAUUCAUAAGAAUUGCAUAAAACUGAAUUGAUUUAGUAAAUGCAAACAAUAGAAGAAAAAUAUAAAAAUUAUUUUUGAAAUAAAAGUUAACAUUAAAAAUAGAAAUAAGUGAAAUACAGUAGAUGGGCAAUAUUAAACAACUUUUAGAGAUUGUUCAAAGAUGUAACAGCGAAUUAAUUAAAUCAAUUUUUCUAUAUAAUUUGCCUUCUAAAUUCACUUGAAACAAUGAGAAGAAAGAAUUUUCCAGGCUGGUCAUUAUGUAUUUACGACACAUAUGUUAAUAGAAUCAAUUUAUUGCGACAAUAUUUCACAUACACUGCACGCUUCUAUAUGGCCUUCGCUGUGAUAGCUAAAACAACCAACUAAGGAACUAAAAGCAGGAGAACAUAUAACCUAGUAUCUGGCGAUUUCGGAUCACGAUCAUAAGAGCGUAGGUUCAAAUCUUGGAUCAGGUGGUGUGAUGUAUCCUUGAGCAAAGCGCUACAUUUCAAACUGUUUCAAUUUACGAAGUAGGUGAUUACUGCCAGAUUCGAGUCCAUCUCAGUUUUUCACCAGUUGUCAGAUCUUCGAAGUUCCGAUGGACCAAUAGUUUCCAUGGCGUGCAGGUGUUUGUUCGCUGCAACAUAUGAUCUAAAACAAUUCACGGAAGCAUAGUACAUACAUUGUCAGACCAACCAAACCUUGUCCUCUGCAAAAGAUUUUUCAAAAAUCGGUUGCUUUUAUUGCAAUGCACUUAGAAUAUAUGUAUUAUGUUUGCUUGAAUAUAUGUAGAUAUGUGCUUUCUUUUUGUAUGCAUGUGUUUGCGUGUAUAUAACAGUGUCAUUUUCUUUCUACAGAAAUAAUAGCAGCUUUUAAGUAUUUCUAGUCGACACGCAACAUCAGAUAGAACCCUACUAGUCUAAAUAAUUUGUUUAACACUUCAAGCAUUAGUAAAGUGAAUGAAUAGAUAAUUAAGAAACUCGCACAACAUUAGAAUAACUAGAGAUGUAAGACAAAAUUUUCGAUUCCGUGAUGUCAGUAAGCACACAUUUUUAGCCUCACUGUGGAAGUCGGGCUUGAUUUGAUCUGUUACCAGAAGAUGAGAUCGACCUACCGGACUUUCAACGUUUAUUCACGCUAUCCGAGACAGGACACACAUUGCUCAGAGAAUCUCUGUUGAUAUUUCGGUUUUUCUAUUUGUUUUCUCUGAUAUUGUUCUUUUAGUCUUUUCUGUUUUGUCUUUUGGGUUUAAUUUCAGCUAAAGAUUAAAGUCAGUUCACCUUAGGUUGUGUAUAUUGAGCUUGUCACCCUCUUUUUCUUCCAAUGCAUUUCUCGUCUUCAUAAAUGUCUAAUUCGCCCGUUUAAUGGAAUAAAGUUGUUACUUUUGAGUAAGUACACUUUUAGUAUUCUUUUUUAUUAUUACUUGUGCUUAAAAUCAUAUUUUUCAUUAUUGAAGCUAUUUCUCUCAGUUAAACUCCAACACUUCUCUCCUCACUGGAAUAUUUCUUUGCCUCUAUUCUAUGCAUACAUACGUCUUAAAUGUUCCAUUAAUCUUACUUCGUUGUACCUCCUCUUGAUAUUAGGAAUCAUGUGAUUCAUCUGUCCCUUAAUUCUUAUACCUUCACCGUUCUGCAUUUGAGACCUCCUAUAAGAAGUAUGUCUGCUCCACUUGUUUCUUUCUCCGAGAAUCUGCCACUUGUAAUCCACUUCCUAAUUCUAACUCUUAUGAUGAUCCUUUUAUGAAUCUUAGAGCGGGUUCCUAUUAGAUAUUUACUUUCGUAUUCUUUUGUAACUCAACAAGUAGCUAUUUAAUAAAAUAACAAUUUGUUGCUUAAGUCCUAUUUUAUAACUGGCAGUUUACAAUCUUGUUGCCAAUAAUAUCGAACGUAGUAAAAAACACUACUUUAUAAUUCGCGUUGCACAUAUGCACAUUAAAGGAAAUUAAAACCAAUUUAGUACCAUAAGAGUAUGUGUAUACUAGAAAAUGAUAUGAGAUGAUAUUCUGUUUGUUCACUGAUAUUUAGCAGACUAAAUUAAGCAUUGAAACUAGUCAUAUUAAGAUUAUUUUCUAGCAACAAACAUCUCACCCCCGGAAUAAACAAAGAGUAUAUUUUUCACUCUGGUUAAAAGCAUGUUUUCACUAAAAGUAGUUUUUAAGUUUACCGUAAUUUUUUUCCUUAAGAUAUAUUUUAAUAUAUCUUAAACACUCACACACACACACACACACACACACACACACACACACACACACACAUACACACACACACACACACACACAUACAUGCGUGUGGUUGUGUGCUAAAAAGUUUGCUUUCCAGCGAAAUGCUUUCAGGUCAAGUCCCACUUAUCGUCUGCUAUAGCCUCGGAUCAACCAAAGCUUCGUGAGUCGAUUAGUUGAUUUGGAAGACGGGAACUGGAGGAGUCGUCUGUCAUGCUUAUAAAUAUACGUCUGCGUGUGUCUUUGUAAUUGACACCUACCACUACUUGAGAACCUGAGUAGGUUUGCUUACGUCCUUGUAACCAAGCGAUUCGACAAAAGAGUCCAGUAAAUUACACGACUUGAAAAGUAUGGCAGGGGGCAAUUUGUUCGACUAAAGCUUUUUAGCAAGAGCACCAACGUGGCCGCAUUCCAAUGACUUAAGCUAGUAAACGAUAUGAUAUUUCAUAUAUAUAUAUAUACAUAUAUAUGUGUGUUUAUGUGUAUGUAUGGGGAUAGUCACAUAUAUAUAUUUAUGUAUAUAUAUGUUUGUAAUAGUGCAUUUGAACUUACGCACUUGGGUAAAUUGACCUCGGUACAUCAAAUUUGAUUAAACCUAUUUAUCAUAUUCUACAUGAAGACAUCAAACAAGAGGUUUUGAAGUUUUCAGUUACAAAAAUAAAUAAAAAGUGUUCGUAUCCAUUAGAAGGUAAUAUUUUGCUUCAGUACAUACGUGUGACUUUGUACUAUUCUCUGUAAUUCAAUGUAUGUGAUCAUCUGUGUUGUUCAAAAACAUAUGCAAUUAUAGUUUUAUCGAUUCAUUACACUGCAGUAGUGGACGAUAACAUCAUUGCAUAAUUCAAUAUAUUUUAAGUUUCAAUUAAUAAUCUGCUGUAGUAUAGUGUAUCAGCGCAAUUAAUAGUCUAGUGUAGUAUAGUCUAUCAGCGGUACUUGACAAUAAUCAAUGACCUUUGAAAUCUUCUUAAACAGAGAUCACGUAUAUGUGUAUAUAUACAUUCAAACAUACAAAUAUUUAUAUAUUGUUACACACACAUAUGUGUAUAUGUAUAUAUAUAUAUAUAUAUAUAUAUAUACACACACAUAUUUAAGUACAUAUAUAUAUAUAUAUAUAUAUGACUGUGUAUCUGUCUGUGUGAGUGUGCGCAUUUGUUUGUGUGUGUGCGUGUAAAUACGAAUGGACUUAUGUGUGUCUGUUCUUGUGUACUUACGUAUAUUUCGAAACAGAUUCCUUUGCUGGAAAUCAAUUUUUUUUAAUAUCAUUUCAAGUGUGUCCGUCUUAUUGCUUAUCUCUUUAGUCACUCAUCUAUGUGCAUCUAUGUAUGUAUAUAUAUAUACAAACAUUUUAUAUAUCUAUAGAUAUACACACACACUCAUUUAUAUGCAUAUAUAUAUAUAUAUAUAUAUAUAUAUAUAUAUAAAUUUACAUACUUAUAUAGCAAACGUAGAUAUUGGUUGAUAGGGUGUUAAUACUAUGCAUCAAUAAAGCUGAGAAUUGCACAAGUACUUUAGUCUUGUUAUAUUGAAGUAUAAUAAUUAUUGCAAUACAUUGGCCGUAGGAUUAUUACAUAGCAAGUUUGUGAUUAAAUUCAAGUGGCUCUGUGAAAAGUUGCAAAUCAUCACAUCCGAGUACAUUUUAAAUCUGAUCAUCAUCAUCAUCACGGUCAUCAUCAUCAUUAUCACUAUCUUCAUUAUCAUCUUUAUCUUACGUUCUUGUAUCAUACUGGCAUGCCUGGACUAUUUGACAGCUUCCGACGGUUCUAGAACUGCAUCUUGCGCUAGUAUCUCCUCGGCGCGAUUUCUAUGGUUGGAUCACUCUGCUAAAGCUAGCCACUUUACAGUGGUGUAACGGGUGAUAUUUUUGUAUCACCAGCACAAGUGAAGUUGCCAUGCAGCUUGGAAGACUACGAACGCCGAAGGAGGUGGCUUUAUAACAGAAAAUGAAUGCUUAAAGUACGAGAGAAAUCGCCAGAGUAGAAUAGGUUACUUGCAUGAAGAAGGAGCACAUUGCUACCCAUAUUCUAGAAGGGAGGGAGGGACUGACCGAGGUGGAGAAGAGAAGAUAUACAAUUGCAGUCGUAAUGCUGCUCCGUCCCCCCCCGAAGUAAGUAGUGAAUGGGAGCAGAAGAUCCCGAGCUGUGGUGAUUGAAAGAAUGUAUAGAAUUAAAAAGUGGGAGAUGGGAAAUGAAUGAAGUUGUGUAUAUAACAAAUGAAGAACAACAAAUGAGUUUAUGAUAAUUAGAAGAGGUUGAGUAGAGAAGGUGACAACUGUACUGAUUGGCUGGAAUUGAGAGGUAGAUGUAGAGGAUAAAGAGUACGUGUGAGGGUUAGUGGAAUAGUAAUGAUGAAACAAUAGACAGGGCAAGGGGAAAGAGAGAGAGAGAGAGAGAGAGAGAGAGAGAGAGAUGGUGAAUGGUUAGGUAGACUGCUAAAAUUAGUGGGUAGAUGUAGGGGUACUGCAUGGAUAGAGUGGGAGAGACGUUUGGUGGCGGAGACAAAUCUGUAUAGAGGUUAAACUUACCAAGGUUUUUAAACUAUCACAGUUGAUAAUUUUCGUCUUCGAUUGCAUUCAGCUAGCCUGAGUUCAAAUCUCUGCUGACAAUAUUUUUGGGAACUGUAUAAUAAAUAAUAGUAAACCAAUUGCAUUCAGUUUUAGACAACUCGAUUUACUCUUAAAAUACGUCUGAUGAUUGAUUGAAAGAAGUCAAUAAUUAUCGUUACGGCAACACUGUCGUGGAACGAAGUGGUUAGAAAUGUUUCCAGGCACUGGGCCUCACUGAGGAAAUGAAAAGGGACCUAGAGAUGUGGAGAUUUGCAGUACUUGAUAAGACUCGUCAAGCUAAGUAAAAUCGCUGUUUUUCACGCAUGCAGGCUUGUCUUGUCAGAUGCAGGUGCAGCGUUAAACACCCGUGCCGGUGCUACGUUAAUACACACGUGCCGGUAUUGCGUAAAUGCACCCGUAAAAAGCACCCAGUACUCUCUGUUAAGUGGUUGGCGUUAGGAAGGGCAUCCAACUGUAGAAACCAUGCCGCAACAGACAGUUGGAGUCUUGACAUAUGCUUCUGAAUGAAGCAUUAGUCGCCUGCAGUGCAGUAAUAACAAAAUAAGAUGACACAAGAAUAAACAAUUAUUCUAAUAACUUUAUCACCUUACGAGUCCACUGCAACCUAUACCAGAAACAGAUGUAUGCUAAUAAAGUCCACAAGAAUAUCGUUUAUUCCUUUGUCAACUAUUUUAGGACUUCGUCACCGUAUUUUGUAUGUCGUUGUAGUCGUUGUUGUCUUCUUCUUCUUCUUCUUCUUCUUCUUCUUCUUCUUCUUCUUCUUCUUCUUCUUCUUCUUCUUCUUCUUCUUCUUCUUCUUCUUCUUCUUCUUCUCCUUCUUCUUCUUCUUCUUCUUCUUAUUCUUCUUCUUCUUCUUCUUCUUCUUCUUCUUCUUCUUCCAAUCAGGACUCACGCCAUUAGCCACAAAUAAUAAUCUCUAAUUCGAGCCUACUCUAAGCUACUAAGAAUGUGUGUGGCAACUUGAAGAACCACUCACUACGGGUGCAAAAGCCACGUUGUUACCCUCAUUCCGUAAACGAUGUCUUUUAACGGGUGAAGAGCUGAACCAUCCUGGGCUACAGAGGAUUCGCAAUCUAGACUAGGGUCUGAAAGUUUACCACACCAUAGUGGGUUACACCAUGGUUCCUCUGCUUUGUGUCAGAAGUAGGAAGAAAGGGUGAGAGAAAGUUGUGGUGAAAGAGUACAGCGGGGUUCACCCCCCCCUAUCCCACCCCUGCCGGUCAUCGUGGAGCUUAGGUGCUUUUGCUCAAUAAACACUCACAAUGCUCGGUCUGGGAAUAGAAACCGCAUUCUUACGACCGUGAGUCCGCUAGCCUAACCACUGGACCAUUGCACUUCCACAGUCGUUUUUGUUACUGUUAUUUUUGUUGCAUAAUAUCAUGUCAAAUCUCAUUUAGCAAGGCUGCACCUGUUUCUCUAGCCGUGACCAUUACAGCUUUUUAUUUACAAGAUAAGUAGCAGCAGGUUAAUGUUUGACGGACAUUUGUUUGCUAUUUGCAUCGGAUCGAGCGAUCUCAUAGAUGCUCACUCAGAUGUCUAGGGCCAACU
rnacentral:lncRNA from 1 species